UCUAGAUGCAUGCUCGAGCGGCCGCCAGUGUGAUGGAUAUCUGCAGAAUUCGCCCUUGGAUUAGGCAUGCAAGUCGAACGAGAAAGGUUCCUUCGGGGACCGAGUAUAGUGGCGAACGGGUGAGUAAUGCAUGGAUAACCUACCCUUGAGAGGGGGACAACUUCCCGAAAGGGGAGCUAAUACCCCAUAAUAUCCGAGAUCCUCGGAUCUCGGAUCAACGAUAGCCUCUGCAUGCAAGCUUUCGCUCAGGGAGGGGUUCAUGUCCUAUUAGCUUGUUGGUGAGGUAAUGGCUCACCAAGGCUUCGAUGGGUAGCCGGCCUGAGAGGGUGUCCGGCCACACUGGGACUGAGACACUGCCCAGACUCCUACGGGAGGCUGCAGUCGAGAAUCUUCCGCAAUGCGCGCAAGCGUGACGGAGCGACGCCGCGUGGGCGAUGAAGGCCUUCGGGUUGUAAAGCCCUGUUUCCCGCUAAGAACCACAGGCGGUGAAUAGCCGUCCUGUCUGACGUCAGCGGGGGAGGAAGCACCGGCUAAAUACGUGCCAGCAGCCGCGGUAAUACGUAUGGUGCAAACGUUGUUCGGAAUCACUGGGCAUAAAGAGCACGUAGGCGGUUUGGUAAGUCCGCAUGUGAAAUCCCUCGGCUUAACCGAGGAACUGCAGCGGAAACUGCCAGACUAGAGUGCAGGAGGGGAGAGUGGAAUUCCUGGUGGAGCGGUGAAAUGCGUAGAUAUCAGGAGGAACGCCGGUGGCGAAAGCGACUCUCUGGUCUGUUACUGACGCUGAGGUGCGAAAGCCAGGGGAGCGAACGGGAUUAGAUACCCCGGUAGUCCUGGCCCUAAACGAUGGGCACUAAGUAGAGGGAAGGGCGAAUUCCA
rnacentral:rRNA from 1 species